rnacentral:rRNA from 1 species
AUUGAACGCUGGCGGCAGGCUUAACACAUGCAAGUCGAGCGGAGAUGAGGUGCUUGCACCUUAUCUUAGCGGCGGACGGGUGAGUAAUGCUUAGGAAUCUGCCUAUUAGUGGGGGGCAACAUUCCGAAAGGAAUGCUAAUACCGCAUACGUCCUACGGGAGAAAGCAGGGGAUCUUCGGACCUCGCGCUAAUAGAUGAGCCUAAGUCGGAUUAGCUAGUUGGUGGGGUAAAGGCCUACCAAGGCGACGAUCUGUAGCGGGUCUGAGAGGAUGAUCCGCCACACUGGGACUGAGACACGGCCCAGACUCCUACGGGAGGCAGCAGUGGGGAAUAUUGGACAAUGGGGGGAACCCUGAUCCAGCCAUGCCGCGUGUGUGAAGAAGGCCUUAUGGUUGUAAAGCACUUUAAGCGAGGAGGAGGCUACUGAGACUAAUACUCUUGGAUAGUGGACGUUACUCGCAGAAUAAGCACCGGCUAACUCUGUGCCAGCCGCCGCCGUAAAAC